CAACCUGCCUUUCAGAGGGGGAUAACAGUUGGAAACGACUGCUAAUACCGCAUAACGCUGCGAUGGGGCAUCCCGAUGCAGCCAAAGGAGCAAUCCGCUGAAAGAUGGGCUCGCGGCCGAUUAGCUAGUUGGUGGGGCAACGGCCCACCAAGGCGACGAUCGGUAGCCGGACUGAGAGGUUGAUCGGCCACAUUGGGACUGAGACACGGCCCAGACUCCUACGGGAGGCAGCAG
rnacentral:rRNA from 1 species